rnacentral:rRNA from 1 species
UACGAAGGGGGCUAGCGUUGUUCGGAAUCACUGGGCGUAAAGCGUACGCAGGCGGAUUGAUAAGUCAGGGGUGAAAUCCCGGGGCUCAACCUCGGAAUUGCCUUUGAUACUGUCUGUCUUGAGUUCGGGAGAGGUUGGCGGAAUUCCUAGUGUAGAGGUGAAAUUCGUAGAUAUUAGGAAGAACACCAGUGGCGAAGGCGGCCAACUGGCCCGAUACUGACGCUCAUGUACGAAAGCGUGGGGAGCAAACAGG